UCUAUAUUUAGCCAGCAUCAGAAUCGGGUUUAAGGGAGUGGAAUAAUGAGUGGAACUGCCAGUUUCAAUGAGUAAGGUAUUUAGAGGAAAAAGGCUGCCGCAGGAUCUCUUUUAUGAUACCAAUAGGCACGUGAUUGGGAAGACAUAAAACGGGAUUUAACUGAUUUCAUAGCGUGUUGGAUAUUAUCCAGUAUGAAUCGUUAGCCCCAUAACAAGAAGAAAUGUUGGUCUCCAGAGUGGCACAAAAAGAAAAUAUGUGUUUCAUAAGCCUGACAGCGAAAGUUUCCCCAUUUCCCUUCUAACAGAAAGCAUUUGUCUGUUUAGAUUCUUUUCAACAAACACUCCUAAUACAAAUGACAAAACAGUCCUUUGCUGGGAUGACAGCAGAACUACCCCCAACACCAUCCCCCCAACAUAAAGUCCUCUGCUUCCUUUCUUCAGCUUGCCCAAAGACAAGGAGCCAGGGCUUGAGGAAGAGAGGCCCCAGCCUGUCUGAAGAAGAGAUGUGGGAUCCCCUCACCACCUCAAUGAUUUUUUAGUUAAAGGCCCUUAUCACCAGCUCCUUAAAGCAGAGCAUGUGGCCAUGAUGGUGGAGGGGGAGAGGUUCAAAGGUCUCUGUAUGGGAUCUGACUAUGGCCCUGGAUCGUCUUAAUGGAAUCCUGCCUGUUCAAUCCAUCUCUGAACCGUUUUCUUUCUUUUCACUUUUUGUACUAUUUUCUCUCAAUUAAAUUCACCCUUGGACUAGCUAUGGGUUUUGUGGGGCGCUACACAGGAUUAGAGAGGAGGUGGCCUUGUGGCUCAGUCCCUGAUGCAGGUUUGGGCAGCCUUAAGGGCCACCUUCAGUUGCAACCCCUGCUGCUAUCACCUGAUUGGAUGCUGAGGCAACAGAGAAUAGAUGAGGGGGAGGGAUACCCUGACUGCAUCUCCCUCCACUCCCUGACCAUCCCUUAACUCCACCCUUGAAUGCCCCUUGCAGUGGGGGUGUCACUGCAUGGGGAGUGCAGUAUCGAUAUUCGCUGUAGUGGCCUCAGUCUUGACCUAUGUUCCUUUUAUGCCAACUUUAGAGCAGCUGUUGUCUUUAGGCCACUAUUGUCUUUCAAAGUCUUCCUGCAUCACCCCUCUCCCCCAAUGUACUAAUACUUUAAUACUCACUAGCCAU